CUUCAUUUCGUAGAUCUCAAUCCGAAAUACAGAAAACCCCACGGAGAGAGAAGCUCCUCCUCCUCCUCCUCCAUCUCGCCUCCACGCAUUCCGAUUCUCGCCGCCCGCAGCCAAUUGGGCUGGCGGGCUCGCAUGAGCAGCAGCCUCCGCAGCGAAUCGCGAUCCUGACGGAACCGGUUUAGUUGCCGUUGCGGCGAUCUUGUGUGCUGAAAGGUCACCAUGGCUGCGUCGGAGGAGAAUAGUGCGUUGUUUCCUAUUUUCAUUUUGACUAUAAUGGCGCUGCCUUUGGUGCCUUAUACCGUUAUGAAGUUAUGCCAUGCUGCUACCAAGAAAUCAAAGAUCACGCACUGCCAGUGUUCGGAAUGCUUGCGAUCAGGGAAGUAUCGCAGGUCUAUAUUCAAGAGGAUCUCUACAUUUUCAACAUGCAGCAACCUGACAUUAGUACUGCUCUGGAUCGUCAUGAUAUUUCUAGUGUACUACAUCAAAAAUAUGAGCGGGGAGAUUCAAGUUUUGAGCCUUUUAGCAUUCUUGGGUUAGAAGCUGGAGCUUCCGAUUCAGAAAUAAAGAAGGCCUAUAGAAGACUUUCAAUUCAAUACCAUCCUGAUAAGAAUCCUGAUCCAGAGGCACAUAAUUAUUUCUGUGGAGUACAUUUCCAAGGCUUAUCAAGCUCUCACUGAUCCUAUAUCUAAGGAAAAUUUUGAAAAAUAUGGCCAUCCGGAUGGGAAGCAGGGAUUUCAAAUGGGUAUUGCUCUCCCUCAGUUUCUGCUGGAUAUUGAUGGUGCUUCUGGUGGAAUUCUUCUACUUUGGAUUGUGGGCGUCUGUAUUCUUUUGCCACUAGUUAUUGCUGUGAUAUACCUCUCAAGGUCAUCAAAGUAUACUGGAAACUAUGUCAUGCAUCAUACCCUGUCCAAUUACUAUCGCUUAAUGAAACCGUCUUUGGCACCGAGCAAAGUUAUGGAGGUCUUUAUCAAGGCUGCUGAAUUCAUGGAAAUUCCGGUCCGAAGGACUGAUGAGGAACCCCUUCAAAAGCUGUUUUUAUUGGUCAGGAGUGAGUUGAAUCUGGAUCUCAAGAACAUCAAGCAAGAACAAGCUAAGUUUUGGAAGCAACAUCCCCCAUUCGUUAAGACAGAAUUGUUGAUUCAGGCUCAGUUAACAAGAGAAUCAGAUUCCUUGUCUCCAGCUUUGGUUGGUGAUUUCAGACGUGUUUUGGAACUUACACCUCGGCUACUUGAAGAAUUAAUGAAGAUGGCUGUCAUUCCUCGCACUGCCCAAGGACAUGGUUGGUUGAGGCCUGCAAUUGGGGUUGUGGAACUUUCUCAAUGCAUUAUUCAGGCUGUUCCUCUCAGUGCAAAGAAGACAACCGGAGGAUCCAGUGAAGGCAUUGCACCUUUUCUGCAGCUGCCGCAUAUCAGUGAAUCUGUUAUUAAGAGGAUUGCUCGCAAGAAAGUGAGAACAUUUCAGGAGCUCCGGGACAUGUCUCUUGAGGACCGUGCCGAACUCCUCCAGGCAGCAGGCCUCUCCAGCACAGAAGUACAAGACAUAGAGAGAGUUCUGGAGAUGAUGCCUUCUCUAUCAAUAGACAUUACAUGUGAGACUGAAGGUGAAGAAGGCAUACAAGAGGGUGAUGUGGUCACGAUUCAGGCUUGGGUUACACUCAAAAGAGAUAACGGACUUGUCGGCGCCCUACCUCACGCACCGCGGUAUCCUUUCCACAAAGAAGAAAGUUUCUGGUUUCUUCUGGCAGACCCCAACUCCAAUGACGUUUGGUUUUCUCAGAAGUUAAGUUUCAUGGAUGAAGCGACCGCUGUAAGUGCUGCCUCUAAGGCAAUUGAGGAAACUAUGGAAGGACUGGGAGCAGAUGCAAAGGAAAAAAGUAAGGCCGUCAGAGAAGCAGUGGAGAAGGUGAGGAGUGGCUCGAGGUUGGUCAUGGGCAAGUUUUUGGCCCCCGUGGAAGGGAACUACAAUUUGAUGUGUUACUGCUUGUGUGAUUCGUGGAUUGGUUGCGACAAAAAAGUGAACUCGAAGGUCAAAGUUCUCAAAAGGACUCGUGCAGGCACUAGGGGCGGCGCUGCACUGGAAGAGUCCAUUGUGGAGGAUGGGAUCGAAGAGGAAGAGGAGAGUGAUGAAGAGGAGUAUGAUUAUGAGAGCGAGUACAGCGAAGAUGAGGCUGACGAGAAAGACUCGAAAAAGAAAGGCAAGACUGCUAAUGGCACGGUGCCUAAGAAGGGUUCGAGUUCGGAAGGCUCGGGGACAGAUGAGGACUGACCACAUUUGAGACGGUGGAACAUCAUUGUGUACUUUGACCCCUUCUAGUUACGGCAGGAGUUCUCGAUAGGUUCAGGAUUGAUAGUUUUUAUACCGUGGAUCUUGGUUCGAGCCAAAUGAUGAUUACAAAGAAUUUUGUUAUGCUUUCUUGAGGCGUCUUUCUUAUUCGAUAGCAGUGUUACACCAAAUUUUAACUCAGUGCAUUGGAUAUGACCGCGAGGGUGGAGAUUUCGUUCUUAGUAUUUUUCUCUACAAAUGUUAGUGACUUGUAUUCCUAAAACAUGGAGGAAAUUACUUCUUCCUAUUUUAGACUUUUCUUGCAAAGAUGAGAAAGUUUUACUUUAAAAA